rnacentral:lncRNA from 1 species
UUUGAAACUCUAGUAUUUAAAGCAGCCAAUGGUAAUGUAUCUGAUCGAGAGUUUGAGGUCAUGUUCAACGGCUAAGAAUAAAAGUGAGGUUAUAUUAUAGACUCACUUAUAUAUAAAACCAACCUCAUGUUGAGAAAUACAUAAGAUGCUAAUUUUCCUUUGCUAUAUGGAGAUAUAUAAUGACUUUGCUUUGAAGAAGGACCUCUCCAAGAUCAAAAAAAUUUCAGAUUUCUCAAUGCAUAUUCCUCAGGUAGAAAGUAUGGUUUAGUUCAUACAUCUCCUAUUCUUUUUCAGAUACAUAUAUUCUUUCUUCUUCUUCUUCUUCUUUUUUUUUUUGACAAAAGAUACAUAUAUAUUUUUAAUUUAUUGAUUGUCUAUUGUCUAUAUAAUAAAUUUCCUUUUCUUUUUACUAAAAUAAAGUUCCGUUUUGUGUUUAUCAAUUGUGGUUUUNNNNNNNNNNNNNNNNNNNNNNGGACUUAUCAAUUGUGGUUUUGUAGAAUAUUUAAUAAAUUCAUUUUUUUUUUGACAAUAAUUAAUAACUUCAUUUUUGUUUAUGCAAAAAUAAUUUAACUUCAUUUUGUUUUUUUGGGUACUCAAACAUUAUUUUUGGUACACGCAUGUGCGGCAAAUACAAUACCUUUUAUUUUUUGAAUUAAAAAAAAUAACUUAUUUUCGUUGAACUAAAUUAAUAAAUAUAUAGGCAUAAAAGCUAGCUAGUUAUUUUAUAAUAUGGUAAAUAUAAUAUUUGAGAAGCUUCUUUUUGUUGCGAGCGAGUUGGAUAACAAGAAAGAAGGCAAAAUACUUAUAUAGUCAGUCUAAAUAAUUGUGACUAAUAGUCACAAUUAUUUAGACUUAUCAUUUGGUCGCACUCAAAUAAAAAUAUAUAUCAUUUAAUUAAUUAAAAUACUUUUAUUAAUUAGGAUAUUAGAUAAUAUUUUUUAAUUUAUAAUUAUAAAAUAUCUGCUAGUUAAGUUAAGAUUAUCCUCAAGAAACGACUCUCAAAUCUACAAGUACAUCCUAUAAAUAUUGUAAACCUUAGCGAAGGGAUCAUUUCUCAUGAAAUUCCGACCAUCCACUUUUUUUCUUCUAAAAGUUGGUCAACUAAUAAAAUAUAAUUAAAGGGCAGAGGUUAAUACAUAAGGAAAUCGAGUAAAUAUCUCACCGAAGAUAGAGACAACCAGCUCUGUUCUAAACCUUAUGCUUUGAAUCUAUUGUACCCCAAUUUUUUGUCAUUAAUCAGAACUAGAACUAAACACUUUAAAGAUAAAAAAAAUGAUGACAUGCAUCCACAAUUUUAGUAUAAAAUAUAUUUGUUGAGGGUAAUCAUCUAUACAUUCGAUGAUUUUAAUUUUAUGCUAAAGAUCAGAUGGUUAAAAUUUUACAUAAAAUAAAUACCAAAGAUCAUGACUUACAAUAUAUAUUCAAUUAAAAAUAAAGACUUAUGAAAAAUAAAAAUAUUUUUAUAAUUAUAUAUUUUUUUAUCAAACUUUUUAUAAUUAUAUAUGAAGUGAAAGUAAAUAUUACGAAUCAUUUUUCUUGAUUUUUAUUUUUUGUUUAUUUAAGUAAGGUAAAUUUUGUAAUUGUUUCAAUUCAUUAUUUUUUUUAAUUUUAAUUUCUUCAUUAUUUUUUUCUUCAAAAUAGUCGUCAUACUUUAUUUUUGAUAUUUUUAACUCUUUGUGAGGAACAAAGCUCUUGCUAGCCCCUUUUUUUUUGUUAAGUAGUCUAAAUUUCACCAAUAAGAUAGACAAGUGAGAUUUUCAGGGUUCAAAUCUCAACCACUGCAUAAAGAAUUGAGCUAAACUCACGGGGACCGCUAGACCAUCUUCUACCCCUUUUUUCUCUUACAUGAUAUGUUGGAAUUCUAUCUAUUUGUUGUACUACUUAUUCUAUUUUUUUUUUUGUAGAGCUUUUUUUUGUUUUUGUUUUGUUUUGUGAAGUCUAAGGGAACUUGUAUGCUUUUCAUAAGAUCUCAAUUCCGAGACUAUCUUCAACCCAUUUGUUAUCUCCUAAAUCAUCUAUUUUCUCUAUGAUAUGAUAUAUUCGAUCGCUAUCGAUCUUCUAUUUGUAGAGACAAGAUGCAUAUAAAUUAUAUGGAAAAAUAUAACUCUCUGCCCUAAUAUUUUGAUAUUAUGAAGUUCAAACAAACAAUAUAUUUUUUAAAAAAUAAAUUGUGGGGAAAAAUAUAACUCUCUGCCCUAAUUUUUUUCUUUGUACAUUUUUUAGAUGUGCCCUUUUUUGUUUUCUAUUUUCACCGUUCUAACAUUUGUUUAUUCUUCCUUUUUAUGUUGUAGAAGCAUGAUGACAAGAGAGAAUCCAAAUACGAAAGUAAAGUGACUUGCAACCUCUCAAUUAAUCUUUCCUUCUAUCUAUCUCCAUAUUCUCUAUAUAUCUAUCAUAAUAUUAAUUUUCUAAUCAUGUUUAUACUCUCCUCCUAGCCCUAUUUAUUUUUUAACCGUAGAAGUGAGACAUACAAAGAGUAAGCCCAUUUUUAAAAAGUGGCUAUGUAUAUAUUAACGUGUUGAAAUAUUCUACAAUCAAUGCACCGUGUGGUUGUGAAUGAUUUUUUCUUUUGAGGGUACAAAUGGUUGUAGAGAAUUUUAAUCUCAUAAUAAAAAUUGAAAAUAUGAACCCGCAACUGUGAUUAAAAGGUGACUAGCUAAACCUACUUGAUGUCAGAACUGACUCCAAAUUAGAUUAGACGGUCCGGUGUGCUGGAUACUGUUAGUGAAAAUUUUUUGAAAAUAUGAAGCACUUUCUUAAUUAAGGUUGUUAUGAGAAAGUGUCCCAAAAUUUAUCUUUCAAGCAUCGUUUUAACCUUAAAUCUCUUUGUUUGUAUCUCAUCGUGAAAUUGUACCACCUACUUCUCUAUUUUCUAAAGAUUUCUCAUCCUUUUGAUUGAAUCGGAUUUUGAAUAAAGAAUUACNNNNNNNNNNNNNNNNNNNNNNNNNNNUAAGGAUCUACCUGUAAAACUUUUUGGAAUUUUCAUAUGAAACCUAGGCUUCCUUUCUUUCUUAUUUCGUAUGGAACUUAUGAUUUUGGACUUUCUUAGUUUUAUUGGCCCAAAAAUCUAACCAACAUUCAUAAACUAGAUCUUAGGAUAUGGUAAUUCCAGUUUAAGGGAUUAUAUUCUUGUGUGAAAGUGCAAUUUAAACGAGAUUAAGAGCAAUUAAUUAUUUCUCCAAAAAUUUAGAUGAUGCACUCAAUUAAUUUGUCAAAAUGAUUUUUUUUUCUUUAGUAAACUCAAAAUGAAAUGUUUGAAAACUACCAAAACAAAUCUUAUUAUAUUACUAUAAUAAUUUAUAACUAGAAAGUAGAGAUUUUUUGUAAAAGACAUAUUUUUUUUUGUCAAGUAUGAGAUAUUUUUUUUAUAUUAAAGUAAACCUAGAUGAUGUAUGUUUGGGUUUUGUUCUCUGUCAAAAAAAAAAAGUAAUGAAAAACAAAAUUUUAUAAAAAGAUUUAGUACAAGGAAUUAACAUUUAUAGACACAUCAAUCAAUUCCACAAACCCUUGUCAAAGAAACAUAAAUUCUCGGAUACUUUCUCAUAAAAAUUACAAAUCCCAAAGUCUUCUAAACUUUUCUCAUGGAUAGAAAUAGAAUUCCGCUCACUUUAUAUAUACACACGUUCCAAGAGUAUACCACAAGCUCAUACUAUAUGAUAUAUGUCCAAAAGCUAAAAAUAAAGCAAGCAUAUUUUGGAUUAUAGAAAAAGAUGGAGAUUUAAAUUUUCUGGUCGAGUAAGAAUAUGCAUCAAAAUAUUUUUUCUUUGUAAAUUUUUUAUAUUUUUAAUGGUAUGUAAAAUUAAUUAGAUCUUGAUUUUGUAGAGUGCUGCAAAACACACACCAUUUGAAUAACUAAAUAUUUGACUUUGAUAAAUAUUCAAAAUAUAUGUUUUAUAGAUUGACCUGUUUCCCCACUUUGCAUGAAGUUCAAUGAUUAAGAGUUGUUCCUCGGGUGUAAUAUUUCCUCGUCUAACAUCCGGUCGAAGAUAGUUUAGCCAACGGAGUCUACAACUCUUUCCGGUACGUUUAAGACCUGUGAUGUACAAAAUCAUAUUAUUAUUAUUUAGAAUUAUUGCUUAUUAAUAACAAAGAAAUAAAUUAUGAAUCUUUCUCUCUCGAUCACUUGUACCCUAUUAAACUAGGUAUCAUAUCCAUACUAGCACAUAUGCACCGGAUCUGGUUAGAAGUAAUUAAACAUGUUAAGAUGAGAGUAGUACAAUUAUUAUUAGUGUUGGUUUAUUUAAUUAAAUAAAGGUAGAAGAUUGAUAUGUGUUUAAUUAAUUACCAGCAGAUUUUGCCAAAGAGUUCCAAACACCUUCACCAUGAUUUGCAAUAUAAUUGAUCAAGAUCAUGUCUUCUUCCAUAGUCCAUGGUCCUUUUCGUACAUCAGG